rnacentral:rRNA from 1 species
UGGGGAAUAUUGGACAAUGGGCGCAAGCCUGAUCCAGCCAUGCCGCGUGAGUGAUGAAGGCCCUAGGGUUGUAAAGCUCUUUCACCGGUGAAGAUAAUGACGGUAACCUGAGAAGAAGCCCCGGCUAACUUCGUGCCAGCAGCCGCGGUAAUACGAAGGGGGCUAGCGUUGUUCGGAUUUACUGGGCGUAAAGCGCACGUAGGCGGACUUUUAAGUCAGGGGUGAAAUCCCGGGGCUCAACCCCGGAACUGCCUUUGAUACUGGAAGUCUUGAGUAUGGUAGAGGUGAGUGGAAUUCCGAGUGUAGAGGUGAAAUUCGUAGAUAUUCGGGGGAACACCAGUGGCGAAGGCGGCUCACUGGACCAUUACUGACGCUGAGGUGCGAAAGCGGGGGGAGCAAACAGG